rnacentral:rRNA from 1 species
UACGAAGGGUGCAAGCGUUACUCGGAAUUACUGGGCGUAAAGCGUGCGUAGGUGGUUUGUUAAGUCUGUUGUGAAAGCCCCGGGCUCAACCUGGGAAUGGCAAUGGAUACUGGCAGGCCUAGAGUGCGGUAGAGGGUAGUGGAAUUCCCGGUGUAGCGGGUGAAAUGCGUAGAGAUCGGGAGGAACACCAGUGGCGAAGGCGGCUACCUGGACCAAGCACGUCGACUGAGGCACGAAGCGCUGGGGAGCAAACAGGAUUAGAUACCCCGUAGUA